rnacentral:lncRNA from 1 species
GCCCUCCCCAAAGACCUGGGAGACAAACUCAGAAACUGCUUCCCUGGGGACCGAGAGUGCCCACAGGGCUCUUCCCACUGCUUCCUCUCCCUGCAUUUUUUGCUCAGCUUUCAAAUUCUGGUUCAGCCCCAGAGCCAGACCUUGAUUUCAUGCGAGAAGGUGGAGUAGGAGGAAGAGAAGGAGGAGAGUUAGAAGGAGUAGGAGGAGGAGGAAAACCUCCUGCAGGCUCGUCUGAGUAUAUUCCUAGGUGAUGGCAGAGGGGCAAGAAAGCAAGCAAAAAGAAGCACAGAAGCCCUCUCAUGGCCAAAACUGGCUUGGUGUCACUUUUACCUCAUUCUAUUGGUCAAAAAAAGUCAACAGGCUGAGCCCAGAGUCAGAGUGGGAGAGUACUGCAUGGUUACAUGACAGAGGAUGUGGAUAUGAGGAAUCGUGAAGAACUGCAUCCAUUAGAGCCAUCUGUCACAGAAGGGACUAUUGUCAUUUUACUAAUUUUGUACAUGAGGAUAGGGAAGCAUGGAGAUGGUAACAUGCCUAAAGUCACAUAGCUUCUUAGCUGUGGAACCAGAAAGUAAACCUGGGCCUUCUGGGCCCAGGGCCCGUGGCUGUUAAAACCACUGUGCACACUGCCUUACUCCUACCCUUCACAAUCAGGUUUCUGCUCUGACCACCCUAGAAAACAUGCCCGUCUCAGGUUACCGAUGCUCUCCUAUGGACAGAUCCAAUAGCCUUUGUUAAUUGUCCACAUCUCUAUCCAUUCUGUAAUACUCCUGCAUGCUGCAUCCUUGGAGUUCUUUUCUCCUUUGAUUCUGCAGAACCUGUACUGUUUUGUUUCUCUUUCUGGCUUCCUCUGUCUGUCUCUCUUCACCAACUACAUAAUGCAUUCACUUCUUUUUCUUGGCAUCUCCCUUUCCAAGCACACCCACUCUCCUGGUUUCCAUUAUCUCCCUGCAGACAACUCUCAACUGGCUCUAAGAAAGCUCACUAUAAUUUUCAGCAACCUAAUUCAGUCGUUUGUCCGUCACAAAUAACAGCUCAGGAAAAUCAAAGGAUUUUCUCACUAGCAUCUUAUCAUUCCAUGUCACCUAGCAACUAUCCCAGUGCUUGAUAUUCUGCUACUAGAAACUCCCUACUACACAGAUAAUACCACUGGAAGGUAUAAAGCCACUUGACUGACCUCUCUCCAUUCACAGCAUUUAUAACUGUAAGAAAUUGCCAGUGGUUGACUCUUUCCGACCUUCGAAAGUGGCAAUUUCAUGUGGUUCAGCUUAAUAGUAUUUAUUACCU